rnacentral:rRNA from 1 species
AGUGAUCGCUGGCGGCGUGCUUAACACAUGCAAGUCGAGCGAAUUUCGGCAGUGUAUCGCCGGAGUUAGCGGCAGACGGGUGAGUAAUACUUGGGCAAUCUGCCCUCGAGAGGGAAACAACCGGCCGAAAGGCUGGCUAAUGUCCCAUAAGACCACAGGGAUGCAUAUUCCAGGGGUCAAAGGUCCGCAAGGGCCGCUUGAGGAGGAGCCCGAGUCCUAUCAUGGUAGUUGGUGAGGUAACGGCUCACCAAGCCUUUGACGGGUAGCCGGCCUGAAAGGGUGAUCGGCCACACUGGCACUGAGACACGGGCCAGACUCCUACGGGAGGCGGCAGUGGGGAAUUUUGGACAAUGGGGGCAACCCUGAUCCAGCGACGCCGCGUGAAGGAUGAAGGUCUUCGGAUUGUAAACUUCUUUUGGAGGGGAUGAAUGCCUGAGUGAAUAACUCAGGGUGACAGUACUCUCGGAAUAAGCCACGGCUAACUACGUGCCAGCAGCCGCGGUAAUACGUAGGUGGCAAGCGAUACUCGGAAUCACUAGGCGUAAAGCGCAGGUAGGCGGUUUGGUAAGUCUUUUGUGAAAGCUCCUGGCUCAACUGGGAGAGGUCAAAGGAAACUACCGGACUAGAGUGUGGUAGGGGAUACUGGAAUUCCUGGUGUAGCGGUGAAAUGCGUAGAUAUCAGGAGGAAUACCUAUGGCGAAAGCAGGUAUCUGGGCCAUCACUGACGCUGAGCUGCGAAAGCUAGGGGAGCAAACAGGAUUAGAUACCCUGGUAGUCCUAGCCCUAAACGAUGUUCAUUAGAUGUGGGGGGUAUCGACCCCUUCCGCGUCGCAGCUAACGCAUUAAAUGAACCGCCUGGGGAGUACGGCCGCAAGGUUG